GCUUUAAGGCUUAUUGUAUUAACUAUUUUUAUUCCAUUUUUUGGGUUAUUAUUUGGGCUUUUUUGUUGGGGUGACAAGAGAUAUAUAAUUAACUUUUAUUAUUUAUUAUACAUUUAUUUAUGGUUUUUAGAUCCAUUAUUAUUGAUUAUUAGACCAAGU
rnacentral:rRNA from 1 species